GACGAACGCUGGCGGCGUGCUUAACACAUGCAAGUCGAACGGAAAGGCCCUGCUUUUGUGGGGUGCUCGAGUGGCGAACGGGUGAGUAACACGUGAGUAACCUGCCCUUGACUUUGGGAUAACUUCAGGAAACUGGGGCUAAUACCGGAUAGGAGCUCCUGCUGCAUGGUGGGGGUUGGAAAGUUUCGGCGGUUGGGGAUGGACUCGCGGCUUAUCAGCUUGUUGGUGGGGUAGUGGAUUACCAAGGCUUUGACGGGUAGCCGGCCUGAGAGGGUGACCGGCCACAUUAGGACUGAGAUACGACCCAGACUCCUGCGGGAGGCAGCAGUGAGGAAUAUUGCACAAUAGGAGGAAGCCUGAUGCAGCAACGCCGCGUGCGGGAUGACGGCCUUCGGGUUGUAAACCGCUUUCGCCUGUGACGAAGCGUGAGUGACGGUAAUGGGUAAAGAAGCACCGGCUAACUACGUG
rnacentral:rRNA from 1 species